GACAGAGGUGCCGAGCGUUAGGCGGAAUCACUGGGCUUAAAGCGUGUGUAGGUGGAUGUCUAAGUACCUUGUGAAAUCCCACGGCUUAACCGUGGAACGGCUCGGUAUACUGGAUGUCUUGAGCCAGCUAGGGGCUACCGGAACAAAUGGUGGAGCGGUGAAAUCGCGAGAUAUUCGAUUGACGCCAAUGGUGAAAACAGGUAGCUGGGGCUGAUGCUGACACUGAGACACGAAAGCCAGGGGAGCGAACGGG
rnacentral:rRNA from 1 species